rnacentral:rRNA from 1 species
GAUGAACGCUAGCUACAGGCUUAACACAUGCAAGUCGAGGGGCAGCGCAGUGUAGUAAUACAUGGGCGGCGACCGGCGCACGGGUGCGUAACGCGUAUCCAACCUUCCCGUUACUCAGGGAUAGCCUUCCGAAAGGGAGAUUAAUACCUGAUGGUGUUCAAAUUCCGCAUGUUAUUUGAACUAAAGAUUUAUCGGUAGCGGAUGGGGAUGCGUGACAUUAGAUAGUAGGCGGGGUAACGGCCCACCUAGUCUACGAUGUCUAGGGGUUCUGAGAGGAAGGUCCCCCACACUGGAACUGAGACACGGUCCAGACUCCUACGGGAGGCAGCAGUGAGGAAUAUUGGUCAAUGGUCGGAAGACUGAACCAGCCAAGUAGCGUGAAGGAUGAAGGUUCUAUGGAUUGUAAACUUCUUUUAUACGGGAAUAAAACCUCCCAGUGUGGGAGCUUGUAUGUACCGUAUGAAUAGCAUCGGCUAACUCCGUG